CGCGUAGGCGGGAUGGCAAGUCGGUCGUGAAAUCCUUCGGCUCAACCGAAGAACGUCGAUCGAUACUGCUGUUCUUGAGGGUUGCAGAGGAGACUGGAGUUCCCGGUGUAGCGGUGAAAUGUGUAGAGAUCGGGAGGAACACCGGUGGCGAAGGCGGGUCUCUGGGCAAUCCCUGACGCUGAGGCGCGAAAGCGUGGGGAGCAAACGGGAUUAGAUACCCCGGUAGUCCACGCUGUAAACGAUGACGACUAGGUGUGGGGGGGUUCAGUCCCCUCCGUGCCGCAGCUAACGCAUUAAGUCGUCCGCCUGGGGAGUACGGCCGCAAGGUUGAA
rnacentral:rRNA from 1 species